UCUAGCUGCUUGUAGAUCCUAUUCCCUUUGAAAUGGUGGCUGAUUUGGUCCAGGAACACAGGAUCCACAAAAGCCCUUCCUGCUUCCAAAACUUGGUCCUUAUCUCCACGGCAGAGCUACCCACAGUGCUCGGGAAAAGAGAAAACGUGUCUUUACCCAGCUUUGACAAGAGUCAGAGGGAGAGACUUGUGCGAUGUGAGGCCCUGAGGACAAAGCCCCAGCGGGGCUCUCCCACCACAGAUGCAGGGCCAGUCCCAGGAGGGCCAGCUUGACCAGUUCUAUCCCAUCGAUGCCAUCAGGAGGUGGAAGCUUCUGGCAGGAAGAAAGUACAAGGAACCGUGACAUCGUGCUGUAGAGGAUCUGGUCACACGGAGGUCACUUUGGCCCAUGCAGAGAUGGAGGCAAGCAAAGUGCAGCGAGGUCUGAGUGCUAUGAUCAGCUCACUGCCCCUGGCAUCUCGACCACCUGUCUGCGCUUUCCCGGAAUCGGCCUCCUCUGUCCGUGAAUCUGGUUACAUCAGAGCUGCGCGUGACGCCACUUUCUCUGUGGCUCUUCAUGGUCUAAAGAUGGAGCACCAA